rnacentral:lncRNA from 1 species
AGGCUGCAGUGAAUUCUACAAAGAGGCUAUGGGAAAGAAACCUGGAAAGUACCCUUGGCUGUGUACAUUUGAGUAAAGAGAGCACUAUAAAAUCAAAAACCAAUGAAAUGGUUUCCAGAACACAGAACUAUUAAGCUUAAGAAAAGGACAGAAGGAACUGAAGAGAGAGGAACUGUUUUGGAGCAUCACACUUCCACCUCAGAAGAAAUAAGGAAGGAAGGAGGAGGGUGUUCCCACGGCUCUUCAACCAGGCCGGCUCUUCAGCCUACAUCCCCAUCUCAUCAAGUAAAAGGGAUUUUUCAACUGGACCAACCAGAUGGUUUAACAGUGCACUCCCACACCAUUCAACUACGCAAGGGAGAUACACUUAACAUAUGCAGUCGUAUAACACCUACUAACAUUUUCAAACAUUAAACCUUUAAAAAAGAGUUCUAAAGAAAUAGAAGCUUGAAGUAUCAUCUCUCAAGUAUAUAGACACUACUUCAUGGUGUGGUAAUAUAUGCAUAUAGAAGCUAGUAAACACCUCCAGGAGAUGCAAAAGGAAUUAGAACUGCCACAAGGUGCAAGCAAAACCUUGAGGUAAUCAAUCUGCAUCCCAUUUUGGAUGAGAAUAUUUGCAACUUUGAAGGUUAUUUUAAGGACAGCAGCAGAAGAAUUAUGGCAGCUUCUUUAAAAUAUGAAGACUUCGAAGUUAUUUAUCCAAACCAACCUGAUCAUUUCUUAAGAGUGAAUAUACCUUGGAAGACGUGUCCUGCCUUUAGUAGCGUCACAAUGGAUUACAUCCUCUAUAAAGCAGUCUGGGGUGAGAAAAUCGAAUUUGGACACCGUUGAGGAGACUAUUGCAGUCAUCCAAGCUCAAGAUGGUGGAGCUUCAUCCUUGAGAAUAACCAAUGGGGAUAGAUUUAAGAGACACUUAGAGUCUGCAGCCAACAGGGCUGAAUGAGCAGAGAGUUAUGAUUCAGAAGAUCAUCUAAAAUUGAACAGCUGCCACUACUGGCAAUAAGUCUACUGCCAUUUGGUAGAUAACCUUCUUAUCACACAGAAAAAUAUCAGUACAGACAAAUAGACCGCAAAGAAAAUGAGACCAUCAGCAAAGAAGAUAAAGAAGUUUGUACAAAGCAACUUUUUAUAAAUGGAUGGCUGUCAGGCAAAAAUAAAUUUCCUGUGGACAAGACCAAGAGCAAGGCAAGAGGAAAAUAAACAUGUUUAAACUA